UACGGAGGGUGCAAGCGUUGUCCGGAUUUAUUGGGUUUAAAGGGUGCGUAGGCGGCAGAUUAAGUCAGCGGUGAAAUUCCACAGCUCAACUGUGGAACUGCCAUUGAUACUGGUUUGCUUGAGUACAGAUGAGGUAGGCGGAAUUGACAGUGUAGCGGUGAAAUGCUUAGAUAUUGUCAAGAACACCUAUUGCGAAGGCAGCUUACUGGGCUGUAACUGACGCUGAGGCACGAAAGCGUGGGGAUCAAACAGG
rnacentral:rRNA from 1 species